GCUGGGUGUGGUGGCUCAUGCCUGUAAUCCCAGCACUUUGGGAGGCCGAGGUGGGAGGAUCACUUGAGCCCAGGAAUUCAAGACUAGCCUGGACAAUAAAGUGAGACCCCGUCUCUA
ensembl:misc_RNA Metazoa_SRP Metazoan signal recognition particle RNA